CUCAACUGAAGCUUGUGAUGCAUUAAAGCUUGUACUGCAGAAGGAUCCUAUGUGUGCCGCGUCUUUCCUGCUGGCGGGAGAUAGCGCGGAACACACAUGAAGGACUAUAACAUAAAUGUAUAAUAUGUAAUUUAUAAGUGUACAUAGACACUUAUGCAUACAUUUUAAUGAAGUUCCAUUACUUGUGAUGCUGUUCCCCUCAAGAGCCAUAGAUAAAACUCCAAUGACAGACAUAGACAAUCUCCAUCUGAAUGGCGGGUCAAGGGAGUCAAAGAGACUUCAAAAUAACACAGAUACCAUAAAAAUCUCAACCAACUGAAAAUGUCUUCCAGGUAUCCGGAUUUGAACUUCUUCACAUCAUCAAUAUCACUAAUUCUCUCUGCCUCAGGAUCAUUCUUUCCGAUCUAUUACAUCCUCAUCUUAAAAGUCUAAAUUCCAAGGAUUUUUACACGAAUCACCUCUCAAUGAGAAAGAACCCAUUUCACAAAUAAAUGAAUAUCUUUAUGAA